UCGAGUGUGCUAGGGGUGAGGGGGACAACAUGUAACCAUGUGAGAUUUUCAUGUCACAGUCAUAUCCAGGCUCUAGUCCCUUGCUCUGUGAAGACGAAACUAUGAAAUGCUUCUGGCUAACUUCACAGUGGGGAACAGCAGGUGAUGGAUCAAUUACUUGGGUCCCUACUAUCCACAUGGAAGGCCUGGCAGAAAAACGCCUGCCAAUGCAAACCUGGUGCCCACUGGAGACGAGAGGCACCACCAUGAAUGUUAAAGGCAUGGCAGCUACCCAAGAGGCCCCUGUACUCCAAAAACUGGUAAUCAGGGAGCUGCACAACCCAUUUGGACACCGGAAAGAAGAGUCCAACAUCUGAUGGGAAAUUGUGUCGAUCAACAACCCAUGGAAGAAACAGUGGACGAGGCUCAAGGCCCAAUUAUAGCAGAGAGCAAGUGAAAGUUAUAAAAAGAUUGCUACUUGUG